GACAAUGUUGUGUAGAGGUAUGUGGAAUUCCUAUGCUCUCAUUCUGAUAUCAAUUAAAUGAACUCUUCAGUCUUCUAAAGCCAUUCAACUUGCUGAACUGCUACAUGGGUUAACUCUGUGUAACCAUUAGCUUACCUGUAUUAUAUGACAGUGCCCAUUUCAAGAGAAAUUAGCACUUUAAAAAUCCUGUAAGUGACUCAUUCUGCCUUACUCACAUUGAACUGUAAGUGGCGUAAGUUGGUUGAGGUGUGCGUUGUGCCGAAACCAAAGUUACAAUAAGCCUGAAAGAUAUCAUUAUGUCAUAAAAUUAUAAAGGGUAAUUGAAGAGAACGGAAAGGAGAUUGGACCGACAUGAACUCAUGCUAAAAUACAGAUGGAGAGGGGGAUUUGGUUAAAUAGCCAGCCUAGCCAAAUCCUGGAUACAUCUGUAUUCUGCCUGUCAAACCUUUGAAGACUUGUCCUACAGAAUCCAUAAGAGUUUUUAAAAGAAAUGGUUAUCUGGCAACUCAAGCAUUAAGAAACCUCAGGAAGUUGAGCUAAAAGUUCAUACCUGUAAAUAUAUUCUGCAUCCCUGCUUACCAGACACAGCUAUAUAAUAGUUACAGAACACGUCAUUGUAGUUAAGUAUCAAGUUAGAGAAAAUUACAUUAAUAUUCAUUUUUUUGUUGUUAAUGUUUUCCUUGGAAAUUUAUGUAGAAGCACAGAUCAAAGUGAUAACAAUAAUUUAGCAGUUUUUAUAUCACCUCUCAAGAUGUUAUUACUACAAAAGCUUGCGAAAAAAGCUGCUAUAAAUACAACUUGGCUUUUUUUGGAAAUAGCUACCAAUAUAUUUUUACAGAUCUGUCUGUAAUGUAUCAAAUAGCCUAGGGACAUUUUUCAAGUAAGUAUGCCCCAUCUAUCUUUUUACUAGCAUCACAAUAUUUCCUUAUAUUUGGGCAGAUAUUUAUUAGUUACUUAAAUGCAGCAUUACCUUCACCUGCCCAGAUAAUAAUUAUUGAAUUAUAUCCAGUUCUGACCCUGUUCAUUUUCUCUGAUUAUGUGUAGCCUGUAGUCAUGUGACACAGUUAGAUUGCACAGUCAAAUUGAAAGGUUUUGUUGCUAUAGCAACACAAGAAUCUAUGUGAUGCUUUGUUCUUAGUUGUAAUGACAAUAAAACCAAGUAAGAUCUUUUGAAGUUAAUUUUUUGUUUACUUAGACUAGCACCUGUAAUAUUUUAGGAUGGGUUUUGUUAAUGGAGGAUACGCAAAUAAAAUGACCAUGUGUUCUACACCUGUAAGGUUAGUUGGAUGUCUCUUCCAAAAGUCUCCAGUGCAUUUUAUCAGGGGUGUUGAACCAUGAACCCUCCACACAUGCAUCCAUAAUUCUCUGCACAGCUAUAACUGACAAAGAAUUAUGUGAAGUAUAGCCGAAUAAUAUCUAAUCAUAUUUUAAAGCAAGUAGUAGUUGAGUAUCCAAAGGAACACUCUGAGCACCUUAAAGGAACACUAUAAGGUCAGGAACACAGACAUGUAUUCCUUGCCCUAUAGUGCUAAACCCACCAUUUAGGUGGCUUGCCCCCUCUUAGCCCUCCUAUAAAAGUUUAAAACUUACCCUAUUUCCAGCGCCUCGCAGGUCUGCCAGCAUUGGCUUCGCCCCCUUUGUGACAUCAUCAAAGUGGCAGAUAUAUAGCCAAUCCAAUGCUUUCCCUGUGGGAAAGCAUUGGAUUGGCAAAAAUCGGCACAAGGGCGGGGCCAAAUGCCGUUUUGGCCAAUCAGGACCUCCUCAUAGAGAUGCAUUGAAUCAAUGCAUCUCUAUGAGGAAAAUUCAGCGUCUACAUGCAGAGCGUGGGGACGCUGAACGUCAGGGCUGCUUUUUUGGCAGCACUGACCCAGGAAGCACCAUCUAAGGAGUGGCCACUUGGAGGUGUCCCUAGAGGCAAUGUAAACACUGCCUUUUCUCUGAAAAGGCAGUGUUUGCAAGAAAAGUUGUUUUGGUGCCUGGAUCAUUCCUUUAAGCAGACUAGCUAUUUUUAAAGACUUGAACCUAACCUCGUACUAUUUAGGCUGUUAGUUGGAUACAUUUCUUCACUAUGCUCAGAGAAAUGAGAGAGGUAAAUGUAUUUAAAGGAACACUAUAGUUUCAGGAAUACAAACAGGUAUUCCUUACACCAUAGGACUAAAUACCUGUUUAGGCUACCGGCCCCUACUUACCUCUGGUUAAAAAGAUUAUUUACUUUCCUUUUUCCAGUGCCACGUGUGUCUGUUUGCGACUGGCCACGCCCACGCUUCACCCCCUUGGCUGAGAUCAGCAAUCUUGAUGAUCUCAGCCACUCCAAUGCUUUCCCAUAGGGGUAGGGAGACUAUGGUGCAUGCACGGCAAAAUGCCAUUCUGCACCAAUCAGCAUCUCCUCACAGAGAUGCAUUGACUCAAUGAAUAUCAAUGGGGUAAGUUCAGCACCUCCAUGAAGAGUGUCCCUUUAAUAAGCAAGCAUACAACAGUCAGAAACAUAGUAUUUCAGGAGUACUGCUGCAAUUUUGAAAUGUAAUCUAUGAUAUGCCUCCACCAAAUACUACUUUAAUAACUAACAAUGAAUAACUUACAGCCAAUGAUCACAUGGCCAAACAAUCCAUAGCACAUCCAUUCCCUCUGCAGUCAGUUGUAUGGAUCUUAUUCAAAUGUAGGCCUUACUAGAUCAAUAGCCAUUUUAUAAUCACCUUAAUCAGCAAUGAUGUGAUAUGUUCAUUACUAUACUAGAUCUGAUAUCAAAAGGCUUUAAAAUAGUUCCUUAAUGUCAGCCUAUGGAUCAUGUGUGCCCACACUUUGCAAACUUUGCAAAUAUUUGGUAGAAAUAAGAGGCUUUUAUCCAUUGCAUAUGUCUUAGCAGUUUAGUAGAUUGGACAAGAAUAUCGAUGUUUAAUCUGUGCAGACAUAUGUGUGUUUUCUCUUGGCAGGAAAAUAGUUUUAUAUAUAUAUAUAUUUUUUUUGUUCAAAUUGCUUUUUGUUGUUUAUUAUUUUGUCUUAGGCCAAACUUGAAGUUACAAGGACAAGGAUCCCUGAGUACUUUUAGUAAAAUUAAAUUCUAAUGAUUACAUUGCGUCUGACAGUAUGAGGAACUCGAAUUACAAAGACUGUGGACUUUGAUGCAGCGCCAUCUAUUGGUUAAAGGUUGAUUAUGUACUUUUACACUAAGAUUUGCAUAUGUUUCCAUAUUUUGUGAAAUUCAUGCAGAAUGCUCUGGGAUUUGGAUCUUAUACAUUUCCCCUGAUGGUCCGCUGUGUGACAGUUAUGUAUUUUAUUGCACUUGAUUGUUGCCUUUAUGUAUUAUUAUAUGUAAAUGUUUCAUGCACUGUUUUGAAUAUAUCACAAUACGUUAAAAGUAGAAUUGUUGAAGGUUAGUCCCAGUUUAAAAAAUAAAGAAAUAAGUGUCUGAAUGUGUUUCUUUCCAGGAGCCGUAAGACCUGCAGUCAGAGAGCUCGGUCUCAGAGCUAAAAAGCAUCUUUACUAAAAUGGUGCUUAAUGUUGUCAGAGGGAUCGAUUCCUGUCUAACCAGAAAGAGCGAGCAAAGGGAUUGGUUCUGCUUUGAAGAAGGAGCGGACAGAGGGAUCAAAUCCUGUCUUAGCAGAAGGGGCAGAGAGAUAGAUUCCUGUCUGGAAGAGGGAGCAGGCAGCUGGUUAUAUUCCUGUCUGGAGGAGGGAGCGGGCAGCGGGACCGAAUCCUGUCUUCGCAGAAGUAGUGGGCAGAGAGAUAGAUUCCUGUUUCAGCAGAGGGAUUGGAUCCUGCCUUAGCAGAAGGAGUGGGCAGAGGGAUCGGAUCCUGUCUUAGCAGAAGGAGCGGGCAGAGAGAUAUAUUCCUGUCUGGAAGAGGGAGCUGGCAGCUGGAUAGACUCCUGUCUGGAGGAGGGCACAGGGACCGAAUCUUGUCUUAGCAGAAGUAGCGGGCAGAGAGAUAGAUUCCUGUCUGGAAGAGUGAGUGGGCAGAGGGAUCAAAUCCUGUCUUAGCAGAAGGAGCAGGUAGACCCGGAUACUUUUCUGCUUACGUGCUGACGUCAUAUGCUAUAUUUGUGAUACAUGCUUCUAGCUCCGACAGUACACCAGGUUAUUUUUCUAUAGAUAUAUACUGAUGUUAUAUGCUCUAUUUGUGAGGCAAGCUACUAGCUACGGCUGUACACCCGGACAUUUUCCUAUAUACGCUGAUGUUCUAAUGGUGUUGUACAUCCGGAUACUUUUUUAUAUAUAUGCUGAUGGUCAACGUUCUAUUUGUGAUGCAUGCUUUUAGCCCUGACAGUACACCCGAAUAUUUUUUCUUUAUAUACGCUGAUGUUACAUGUUACAUUUGUGAUGCAUGCUUCUAGCUCCGACAGAAUGCCCAUAAACCCACACACAUAUACGCAAGAGUCUAGAACAGCAAUGAGACAUGCCGGGUCAGACGCCCACACAUCCUGGGAAACCACAACCGAG